GGUUUCAUCAAUUACAACUCCGAUUACUGAUCAUCCUACUUCUGUCACAUCUGCACAUGCCACCACUCCAGUUGUAGUUACAACUUCAAGAGAAGCACGUUCUGCAUCUUUAAGAGAGACACAUCCUACUCGUCUGCAAUCGUCUACUUAGACACCCUCUAUAUCUCAUGAAACAAAACAACAACCUACAGCCAGCACUUCUAACACUAAGAAGCCUGCUGCUCGUGGCAAGAAAUCUAGUGGCAGUGGCGUGUCUACAGCAGCAAUUGCAGGUGGAGCUGUUGGUGGUGUCAUUGCUAUUGUCUUGAUAAUCAUUAUCGUCAUUCUACUUACUCGACAUCACAAAAAUGAGCAACACAAAAACAAUAGUAGCACAGUUCUUACACAGAACUCUGUCUACAACCAAGUAUCUUUGUCAGUACAGAAAAGUUCCGAAAACGCAGGAGUUGUCAACACCGCACAUCUAGUGCACAGUCCUGCAUACAGCCUCGUGUCUUCUACUGUAGCAUCAAACAACAAUGAAUUACUAGAAUAUGAUUAUGUUAAGCCUGACAUUUACAAAAGGUAUUGAUAGGCAUGCAAA